GGGCUCAGCAAUACGAGACGUUGCUCGAAGACGAUGUCUUUGCAACAGUGAUACAAGCAUUGCAUUACAAGCUUCACAACGAUCCAUGGCGAGCAAAGCUCCCGAAAAGAGAGUGGGGAAUCCCACCAAGUUGCGGUAUCAAUCACGCAUGACAAACUUUUUUUGUUCUCUCAGAGAAGACCCAAAGAAGGAAUUUUUACAUGA